ACAUUUCACUUUUGUAGUUCCUCCGUUCAUUUGUUUCGAAGCGCAGCCCUGAGCCUCCGGCCCUCACCAACGUCGUCCCUCACCAUACUGUCGAAUUCCGACCAGCCACCGGCCCACCACCACACCAUACUCUCGUCUCUGACUCUCCAGCCUUCCUUCACCACACAACCACCGCUCUCUCUCGCGAUCUCUCUCUCUCUAGGGCGAUUGUCUUUCAUGGACAGGUCAGGUCACAGAACUGGGGAUCUCUCUCACGGUCUCACCACCACACCGAGUCUGAGUCUCACUCUCACCCCAAAUUAGCCUCCUCUCGGCCCUUCGAGCUUCAAUCCGCCUUGCCGAUCGCCUCCUCUCGGCGCCUCCACCUAAACCCCUCUGGUUUUUGAAAAAAAAUUCACCUUCAGAGAUUGAGGAAAAAUAUAUAAAGGCUGUUGGUGAUCGGUAUAAAGACAAAAUAAAAAAGGUAUGAAUAAAAUGUUUGAGAUUAUAUGAUUUGAUUUGAUUUUGUAAUGUAUAGAAUUAGCUUUAUAUUUUUCAGAUUAAAUGGGUUUAGGACUGUAUUGGUUAAAUCUAAAUAAAUUUUUGGAAUUUGCUAUGAACAAUAGUUUGUUUCAUUACGGGGUUCGAUGGUUCUACUUUUGAACUGCACAGGGUUGAGAAAGGAAAGGAAAAAAAUUCAUUUAGGUGUUCAUUAAAUCCAAAUCCCGGUUGAUAUGUCUUAGGAAUCCUUUUAAUUGUUUUAGCCGACCCCACUUAGUGGGAAAAGGCUUUGUUGUUGUUGUUGACUAUUUCCCAUAAAUUGGACUGAUACUGUUUGGUGAACAUGUAAGGUUUGAAAUGUUCCAUACAACAAUAAUGCUAAUCAUAUGGAUUCAACUUAUUGGUUGAUGCUUUAAGACUUUGCUCUCUGAUCAUACAUUCUUUUGGUUAAUUUAUUGAUAAUCCUGCUUAAAAAUUGUUUGGAUGCAUAUGGGGAAGAGGAAAAAGAAGCUACAACUUUAGGUGACCAGAAACAUCAGAAGAACAUAAAGAAGGAAAGAAAGCAUGAUGCUUUUGUUAGUUUCGUUCUCGGUGAAAAACAGCAAUCUUGAUGCUAGGAAGGUUCGCACCUAAUGGAUAUAAUGAUUCAAUUCAAAACACAUGUGCUUUCAACCUAAUUUCAGGAUAUUAGCUUUACAAAUAAAUCUACGUUUGUGGAACAAUUGACACUUCAAAUGGGUUGAAUGUCACCACCUGUGGAGGAGUAAGGAUUUGGCUUUAGUGACUUCUGCAAACUGUAGCUUUCAUACUACAUCAACUCUCAAGGUUACUCUGCAUAUCAUCAUCUAAGGAGACGUGGAUGUCCGUUUUUUGGGAAGCGGUCUCUGCGUAUGUGAAUCUAAGGAACAGGUGGUCACAUUGGUGGAUUAUUCGGUUUUUGCUGUGGCGUUUUUCGUCUUUGUGAAGAGAAUCAAUCUCAUCACCCUCUGUGCCCACCAGCCAUCAACACUUUAGUAUUACACAAUAAACUUAGAACAUGCAAAGUUCGGAUGAUUUCAAUUUCAAUCUAGAUGAUUUGGAUUCUGAUGCAAGUUUGGUUUCGGGAACUCACUCUCAUCUCUUUUCAAUCUUGUGCGAAAAUUGCAAAGAUUGUGGCCUAGAGAGUAGAGAUCACCAUCUUCCUCGCUCUCAUCUCUCUCCCUCUUCGAUCUUCUGCAAAAAGUGCAAAGACAAUUGGCUGGAAAUCACCAUCUACAAGAAAUCUCACACUAGUUCUUUCCAUUUGUCAAGAUAGCUAUGGUAAGAUCAAACCUGUUGUGCUUGCUGAAUACUCCGACUUGCUAAAUUUGUUCAGUUUUCUCACACUAGUUCUUCCCAUCUGUCAAGAUAGCUAUGAUAAGAUCAAAUAUGUCGUGCUUUCAGUUUUCCUUAGUGACACUUAGAUAUUGGUUACUCAUCCAUUUGAAAUCUUGUAUGCUCUUCCAUUUGUCAUAGCUACGACUUGCGUGGUUCUUCACUACAAUCGUAUUGUUUACUUUGUUUAUGAUAGUCGGGCGUCUGUAUCGUUAAAGAAUAGGUUUGCGGAAGUACUGUCAUGCAAGUAGGAGAAGUUCGUAUUUAUGUGCGAAGAUAAGCGUGAAAAUAUGAUUGAUUCUGUUUUUGUCGGAAGGGAAUGGAUCUUGAAAGAAGUAUGAAAACAAGCAAAGAGAGAAUUGAGCGUUAAGGCAAAUAUUUUACAAGUUACUGAAGCCUUUAGCAAACAUCUUACACAAUUAUAUAAGAGCAAGAAUUGGAAACAGAAAGAUGGCUUUGUCGAGAUUAUCAUUGCUAAGAGGGGCAAUCAUGGAGCAAUAUGCACGGUCUAGAGCCCAAUAUGGAAGAAAAGGGCAACAUCCCCAAUCAAUUCGAGACCAAACCUAUAAAGGUUGAAGGGUGCUAUGCUAGCAUUGGAAUGAGAUCCUUUUUUGUAAAAGGUGUUAUUGGAGGCUUUUUGGAAGAUCGGUCAAACUGAAUGAUACAUCAUAACCAAGUGGAAAAACCAGCCGAUCAAGUGGAAGAACCGGUAGAGAAAGUGGAAGAACCGGCAAAGAAAGUGGAAGGGGCUGAUGUAGACCAUGAAGUUCUUUACACACUUGAAAAGGCAAUGUUAAGUGCGUGCUGUGGUGACCCAUACAUUGGUGGGUACAUCAAUUCUCGCUACGCUGGUCAUCAAAUUUACAAAAGCAUACCCACAGUGCACCUGUUGGAUCUAUACAAGAAACAUUACGAUAAUGAUGUGAUCAAGAACUCCAACCAAAACGGAAAACUUGAAAUGUUUGUUCACGGUUGGUGCUGUUUCUGUUGAAACCAAUAGGGUGUCUUCAAGACUAUGCCAUUUUGGGUUUCAUAAAGGGAUACGUAAUGCACUGUUUGGUUGACACCGAAGGUUUUUUCAAAGAAAAAUGGAGACUGCCAGGGAGAACGUUACAAGGUGUGAUGAUGAGGUAUUAGGAACCUUACAAUUUGGUUAUUUUUACCCAAAACUCCCCCAAAAAAUCAAAGGGUCGCAAAAGAGGAAAGACUCCAAAACCACGAAGGGCCACACUACUGAUCGAGCUCUUAUGAGGUCUUGGGGAAGUUGGUUCCUAAAGGUUAUAACAAGGAUCUGAUUGGUUUUAGCUUGGAUUAUAGUGGACAACUUUCAAGUUUAGAUCCGGCUGACUCUAGUAAGAGUAGGGUAAGCAUUAAUGCUAUUAAUCUUCUAAAUUUUUAUGAAAUGAUAUUUGUAUAGAUUAUGUAAAGAAAAACAUUUUGAAUUUUGUUAUUGCAUCAGGUUUUAUGAGAUGGUAGAAGAGGCAUCAUUUUUUUGGUUUCGUGUCCCAAAUGAAAAGCAACCAUCAAGAUGAAGAGCAACUGAUCAUAUGAUGCUAAAUUUUGUGUUUUGGAAGGAGUAUCUGGAUCUGUUUCCAUGAAGUGAGGUUUUGUUUGUGUAUUGAUUUGACGUGAUCAAACGCUUUAGAUGUUGUUUCUUGUAUUGACACUAUAUAGAUCAAAGGCUGGAUAUCUAAGUUUGGUUCGGUGAAUUGAAAUUGUCCUACAUUAUCUUCUUGAUAUUGGAUUUCAUUUGGCAUAUUCGUAUCCGAGUACCUGAUUGUUUAUGUGGUGCUAAUAGCGCUUUUGGUGUUGUUCAAUCUGGUACUCAGAUACGAAUAUGCCAAAUGAAACCCAAUAUCAAGAAGAUAAUCUAGUACAAUUUCAAUUCACCAAACCAAACUCAGAUAUCCAACCUUAGAUCUAUAUAUUGUCAAUACAAGAAACAACACCUAAAGCGUUUGAUCGUGUCAAAUAAAUACACAAACAAAACCACACAUCACGGAAACAUCCGAAUCUAGAUACUCAUUCUAAACCACAAAAUUUAGCAUCAUAUAAUCAGUUGCUCUCCAUCUUGAUGGUUGCCCUUCAUUGGGGACAUGAAACCAAAAAACCGAUGCCUUUUGUACCAUCUCAUAAAAGCUGAUGCAAUAACAAAAUUGAAUGUUUUUCUUUGUAUCAUCCUAUACAAAUAUCAUUUCAUGAAAAUUUAAAAAAUUAAUAGCAUUAAUGCUUGCCCUACUAUUACUAGAGCUAGUCAGAUCUGAACUUGAAGGUUGUCCAUGAUAGUCCGGGCUAAAACCAAACAAAUCCUUGUUAUGACCUUCGGGAACCAACUUCUCUAAGACAUCAUAAGAGCUCAGACAGAAGUAGUGUGGCCCUUCGUCUUUGGGUGGUUUUCAGGCCUUUCCUCUUUUGUAACCCUUUGAUUUUUUAGGAGGUUUUGGGUAAAAAUAACCAAACUGUAAGGUUCCUAAUACCUCAUCAUCACACCUUGUAGUAUUCUCCCUCCAUUUUUCUCUUAAAAAGCUUUCGGUGUCAACCAAACAUUGUGCAUUAUGUAUCCCCUUAUGAAACCCAAAAUGAAAUAGUCUUGAAGACACCUCGUUGGUUUCGAGCAGAAACAGUGCCAUACGUCGCCAACCCUGGUAGUGAAAAUAAACAUUUCAAGUUUUCUAUUUCAAGUGGAGUUCUUGAUCACAUCAUCGUAAUGUUUCUUGUAGAGAUCCAAUGGGUGCAUUGUAGGUAUGCUUUUGUAAAUUUGAUGACUAGUGUAGCGAAACUUGAUGUACCCACCAGUGUAUGGGUCACCACAAUACGCACUUAACAUAGCCUUUUCAAAUGUGUAAAUGACUUCGUGGUCUAUAUCUGCCCUUUCCACUCUCUGCCGGUCCUUGCUCUGCCGGCUCCUCCACUUGCUCAGCCGAUUUUUCAACUUAGUUAUGAUGUAUCAUUCGUUUUGACCAAUAUUCCAAAAAGCCUCCAAUAACACCUUUUACAAAAGAGGAUCGCAUUUAAUGCUAGCAUAGCACUCUUCAACCUUUAUAGGUUUGGUCUCGAAUGGAUUGAGGAUUUUGCUCUUUUCAUCCAUAUCAGGCUUUAGACCAAUUGUGUAUAUUGCUCCAUGCUCGCUCCCUUUAGAAAUGAUAAUUUCGACAAAGGUAUCUUCCCGUUUCAAAUUCUUGCUCUUAUAUAAUUGUGCAAGACGUUUGCUAAAGGCUUCUGCAACUUGUAAAAUAUUCGCCUUAACGCUCAAUUCUUUUUUUGCCCGUUUCCAUACUUCCUUCAAGAUCCAUUCCCUUCCGGCAAAAACAGAACUAAUCAAAUUUUCCUGCUCAUCUUCGCACAUAAAUAUGAACUUCUCCUCCUUGUCUGACAAUACUUCCACAAACUCAAUUCUUUAACGGUGCAUAUGCUCGACUGUCACAAACAAAGUAGACAAUACGAUUGUAGAGAAGAACCAUGCAAUUCGUAGGUAUUUUAACGAAAGAGUAUUCUGCAAUAUACAAGAUUUAAAAUGGAUGAGUAACCAGCAUCGAAGUGCCACUAAUGAAAUCCGUUGGCCUGCCAACUCGCUAGAGGUGGUUCGGUAUGGGAUCCCAUACCGAAACCCUUGUCCCGAUUCCCAAACCAAAAUUUUCGGGAAUCUCAAUUUCAAUACCGAUCCCAAACCAAAUUUUCGGGAAUCCCGAAAUAGUUUCGGGAUUUCGGGACAAAUUGGGAAUCCCGAAAUGGUUUUGGACUUUUGGACAAAAAGCCAAUAUUGGGCCAUGCCCAAAAUCUGUCCACCCAGCCUAGUAAUGAAUAUGUCCAAUUGUAUAGUCACUCAAUUCAACAGCCCAUAUGGGCUUAACCUAAUUCAACAAAAAACAAUUUUAUUUCUACUACACAUGUCAAAUCUGUGUACAAAUCUAUUUUAAAGCAAUUUGCCAAAUAUAUUCAACAGCCCAUAGUGAAGUACAACAUGUCAAAUCGAAAAGCAAAAAUAUUAGUUACAAGUCAAGGUUUUAAAAUAAAUAAAGUAACAAACUCAAAAGCAAAAAAAUUAGUUCCAAGCCAAAGUUUCAAUAAUUAAGUUACAAACCAAAAGCAAAAAAACAAAGCCUAAAAUUUAUGAAGAUUGUUGGCCUCUUCGGCCCCUAAUACCGAGACCAUAUGUGUACUAGAUUGGCUACUAGACCCGUUCAUCCUACUUAACAAAUAAAAUAACAAUGCACAUUAAUAUAUAUCACAACCACAGUUCAGCAUAUAUCCAAAUUCCAAUCAAUAAUCUGAGCAUAGAAAAAUCUGAGCAUUCAAAAAUCUGAGCAUUCAACAUGGAAAAAUCUGAGCAUAUAUUGUGUAUUUGAACUACAAAGCAAAUAAAAUCUGAGCAUUCAACAUAGAAAAAUCUGAGCAUUCAACAUAGAAAAAUCUGAGCAUAUAUCGUGUAUUUGAACUACAAAGCAAAUAAAAACCAGGGUGAAAAUUUGAAAAUCGUAUACUAACUAAUUUUCAUAUAACACAUACAAAACUUGAAGCAUUAAAGCAAUCGCAUAGAUAUGAAAAUACUUACACUCCAAGAAGAAACGGCCACACUUCAGCUCGAAUACUUGGAUCAACACCCUGCAUCAGAAAGUAAGUGAUUAAUAUCCAACAGCUGUAAAACAUACAUCAAUUUUAAAGUAAGUUGACGGAAAUAGAAAAAUAAGUCUGACAAAAGUCAAGAACAUACUCCGCUACGAACUUUCUUUAAAAACUUGAGACCCCCAUCAGUGAGUUUCCCAUCUGGUGAAACAGAAACAAUUUCCAUGUUUCAACACAUAGGAAUAGGAUGUCACACACUUCACGUCUUAUUAUCUAAUCACCUAGCCAGGGAUGCAUAAGUAAAGUUACAUACAGAAGUGUAGUUUUGAAAACCAUAUCACACAUACCUGGAGAAGCAAAGUACCAUCAUUGCAUUUAUCUGCAACCCGUUUGCUCACAUGGAAAGGAUCUGUAAAAUGCACUGCUAGGGUCCUGCACAAAUUAAUAAUCAAUAAAAGACAUCUACAAUUUUGAAAGAUAAGAACAAAAAGUAGAACAAAAUAAAAGAAAAAUACCUCUCAAAUAUCUGAUUGUGAGAUACACCAAAUUCAAGUUUGAGUGCUAUCAUCCUCAUUCCAUCCACAAUGCUCUGUCUCUGGGGAGCCACUGCAUAAUGCAUUAUGUACAGGUAAAGGAAGAACCCAGAAGAGAUAUGUUCACUGAAGGACUUGACAGGAGCGCCCUUCAUGGGGUUAGAAAGUGAUUGAAUUCUGGGUUUUUAGCCGUACCCAAUUUUAGUCGACCCAUGCAGCAUAGGGCAUUUGCCCGUUUGCUUUCCUUUUCUCACCAGACAUCUCUGCCAGCAUGAUCCGCCAAACUCGCCGAUCGCGUCUGCUUUCGCGGACUAGGUCUUCUACUCCCUAAAAGGCUGAUUAACACCAGCAACCACAACACCAACAAGGACUACUGCAGCUUUGAUGUUAAGCAAAGGUGUUCCAUGGGAACCACAUAUUGUUCGAAACUAUCUCAAAGAAGUGGAGAGAUUUGUUACGUAGCUCCAGACUAUGCCAACUAUGAAGCUCUAGAAAAAUGGUGCGGAAAUUGGCUGUUUGUCAUUGAUGAGGUAUAAUCCAAUAGCUAAUAAGUAUGCUCCUAUAUUCGACACUUUAAUUAUGUCUAGAACUAAUGUUGUUAUUACUACUUUCAUUUUUACAGAAGGAAAGGUUUUUUGUUCUUCAUUUCUUGCUAUAUCAUCUAGGGUUGUGCAAACUAUUCAUUAUAGGGGAUCCCUUCAUGUAUAUAGUUGUUUCUUGCGAAGAUUUCCGCAAACUAUUUUUGUUAUGUCGAAGUUGAAAUCUUUUUUUACGAUUGUAAAUAGAUUUCACAUGUAUGCAAAUAGUAUAUAUACACAUUAUAACUUUCUACAUA